ACGGAAGGCAGCAGUGGGGAAUAUUGGGCAAUGGGGGAAACCCUGACCCAGCAACGCCGCGUGAAGGAAGAAGGCCUUCGGGUUGUAAACUUCUUUUAGUAGGGACGAAUAAAUGACGGUACCUACAGAAAAAGCAACGGCUAACUACGUGCCAGCAGCCGCGGUAAUACGUAGGUUGCAAGCGUUGUCCGGAUUUACUGGGUGUAAAGGGCGUGUAGGCGGAGCUGCAAGUCAGAUGUGAAAUCCCGGGGCUGAACCCCGGAACUGCAUUUGAAACUGUAGCCCUUGAGUAUCGGAGAGGCAAGCGGAAUUCCUAGUGUAGCGGUGAAAUGCGUAGAUAUUAGGAGGAACACCAGUGGCGAAGGCGGCUUGCUGGACGACAACUGACGCUGAGGCGCGAAAGCGUGGGGAGCAAACAGGAUUAGAUACCCUGGUA
rnacentral:rRNA from 1 species